GAGAGGAGGAGGACAGAGUGAUGGAAGAAGAGGAGGAUCGGCAAACUUUAUGUUUUCAGUAAAGUUUGAGAUCAGCUCCUGUAGUCUUCUUUAUAAAAGAAGAACCCCUCUUGAGACAGCAGCCUGUUAUUUCCACUGCCCCCACCCCUUCUUUUUUCGCUCCUUCGCUCUCUCCAGGGUGAAGGAAAGAGUGAGGAACGGAUAGGAGCUGGGGAGAGGUGUUGCCCAAAGCAGAAGGGGCCUCUGAAAAUGUUGCACAGAAACCGUCUGUCCAGAGUGCGUAGCUCUGACAGGGCAUCUGAUCUGGGUAAUUGUCAUGGCAACAUUACCCCGACCUUCAUCACCAUUAUCCCCCAUCUUCCCUCUGCUUGGCCCCCUAUGUUCUGACUGACGU